CCACACCUCCACCUACAUCAGCCUCCAUUAAUACAACCACUUCUGCUGGUUCCUCUCCUCCUUAUCUCCAUGUGCUGCUGACUGUUGGAUCAGUCUGUGUUGUGAUUCUACUGGUGUUAGUGAUUCUAUUGGUGAGACGAUGUGUUCACAGGAAGCCGAAAGAUGAUACUGGAAAUGCUAGUGAAGAUGACAUCGCUUACACUGACCUCAGAAUAUUACAUCACCAACAAAAGCCAAUCAGAUGGAGCAGAGACUGUGAUCCAGCUGCAGUCUACUCAGCAGUGAGAACAGAAGACGUCAGUUAUGGACAAAUUAUCAUCAAAGAUAAGAAAAAUAAAUCUAAUAUAAGAGGUAGGAGUGCUCAUUAUUUUUUAUAACUUGUAAAAAUUGUAUACACAUGCACAAGUCUGAUCUCCACUCUAAUCUAUGCAAGUUAAAGUUCUAGCAACAGGAUUUGGGUCAUCAUCAUCAUCAUACUUCCCCCUUUUUCUUUUUAGUUUGAACAUUUUUGACUUUAAUAAUGAGACCCAGCAGCUGCAGUGUAAUCUUAAACAUACUGAGCACUUUAACAUCAAGCAGGGAGAUGUCAAAAAGGCCUUCCACUUUGUGAAAGUGAAUAAGUUUCAUGGACCUGCUAAUAGUUGUUGUCAUUUGCUCAACAAUCCAUUAUAUUUUUAAAAAGUCUUUACAGGCACACCACACACCUAUUGUUUUGAAGGAUGUUGUUUUAUUGCCUGUUCCUAAGACUUGUCAUCCCAAAAUUUAAAAAAAAAAAAACAAGUUUAGUUGCUCUCACAUUGGUUGUGAUGAAAGUUCAGAAACUUGUGAAGUCAGAGAUUUUAAAGCAAACUGAACAUGUGCUUGACCUCCUCUAUAGAGGAAUGGAAGAUGCAGCUGCAAUCUUGCUGAACCUGGUUAUUUAACACCUGGAGGGAAAAACCUCUCAUGCUUGAUUAGUGUUUGUUGAUUUUUCUUCAGGCUUCAACAUAAUUUAGCCUGCUAUUUUAAUCUGAAGGCUUUUAGAACAGUUCAACAUGAAUAAAAAUCUUAUCGAUUCAAUUCUUGACUUUUUAACUAACAGGACCCAAAAACUUGAUUGAAUGUAAGUGCGGUCCUGUCCAACCAGGUCUGCUCCUCGACUGGCUCCCCACAGGAAUGCCAGCUCUUGUUCUUACUAUUUAUCCUGUACACAAAUAUUUGUUAGAGUAAUUUUGAAAAUAGGACCAUUUGAAAAUAAGCAGAUGAUUCUGUUAUUCUCUGUCUGCUCCGGGAAAAUGAAUCCAUCUGUGGCUCAGUUUGUGCUGAUUUUGUCAAAUGAUGUGAUGAGUCCUGCCUUCAGCUGAUGAUACUGAAGAACAUAUCAUUUAUUUUAGCAAAAGCACACAUACACACAAAGUUGAUUUUAUUAAGGGUCAUACUGUGGAAUGUUUUCAAUGUUAUAAAUAUCUUGGAACAGUUAAUGAUUCAAAGCUUAAUUGUACUGUGACACUGUGUGCAGAAAGGUCACCAGUGACUCACGUGUGAGAAAGCUUUCUCAUUUCCACAUUAACAAAACCAUGAUGAUUUUUUUUGUCAUUCUUUGAUUGAAUUAGUUUCGUCUUUUUCUUUGGUUUCAUGGUUCGCAUAUUUAUCUAUAAAGAACAGAAACUCACUCAAUCAAAUUGUUAAGUGGUUUAAUAGGCUGAUUGGUGAACCACAGCUGAACCUAGUAUCCCUGUACACCAGUUACAGCAGUUGACUAGCUCAAUUUUUGUUGACUCACACCUGUUUCAUAGUGAGUUUCACUUUUUUUUCCCCUUCUG